rnacentral:rRNA from 1 species
UGGGGAAUAUUGGACAAUGGGGGCAACCCUGAUCCAGCAAUACCGCGUGUGUGAAGAAGGCCUUCGGGUUGUAAAGCACUUUUAGCAGGAAAGAAAGCCUGUGCGCUAAUACCGCAUGGUUUUGACGUUACCUGCAGAAAAAGCACCGGCUAACUCCGUGCCAGCAGCCGCGGUAAUACGGAGGGUGCGAGCGUUAAUCGGAAUUACUGGGCGUAAAGGGUGCGCAGGCGGUUCCGCAAGUCAGGCGUGAAAUCCCCGGGCUUAACCUGGGAAUUGCGCUUGAAACUACGAGACUAGAGUAUGGCAGAGGGAGGUGGAAUUCCACGUGUAGCGGUGAAAUGCGUAGAGAUGUGGAGGAACACCGAUGGCGAAGGCAGCCUCCUGGGCCAAUACUGACGCUCAUGCACGAAAGCGUGGGGAGCAAACAGGAUUAGAUACCCUGGUAGUCCACGCCCUAAACGAUGAUGACUAGUUGUUGGAGGAGUUAAAUCCUUUAGUAACGCAGCUAACGCGAGAAGUCAUCCGCCUGGGGAGUACGGUCGCAAGAUUA